rnacentral:rRNA from 1 species
AACGAACGCUGGCGGCAGGCCUAACACAUGCAAGUCGAGCGCUGUAGCAAUACAGAGCGGCGCACGGGUGAGUAACACGUGGGAACGUGCCCUUUGGUUCGGAAUAACUCAGGGAAACUUGAGCUAAUACCGGAUGAGCCCUAACGGGGAAAGAUUUACCGCCGAAGGAGCGGCCCGCGUCGGAUUAGCUAGUUGGUGGGGUAAUAGCCUACCAAGGCAACGAUCCGUAGCUGGUUUGAGAGAACGACCAGCCACACUGGGACUGAGACACGGCCCAGACUCCUACGGGAGGCAGCAGUGGGGAAUCUUGGACAAUGGGGGAAACCCUGAUCCAGCCAUGCCGCGUGAGUGAUGAAGGCCCUAGGGUUGUAAAACUCUUUCGGCGGGGACGAUAGUGACGGUACCCGCAGAAGAAGCUCCGGCUAACUUCGUGCCAGCCGCCGCCGUAAUAC